AUACGGAGGAUCCGAGCGUUAUCCGGAUUUAUUAGGUUUAAAGGGUGCGCAGGCGGAACUGUAAGUCACCGGUGAAAUCCUACAGCUUAACUGUAGAACUGCCGGUGAUACUGCGAUUCUUGAGUAUAGUUGAGGUAGGCGGAAUGUGUAGUGUAGCGGUGAAAUGCAUAGAUAUUACACAGAACACCGAUUGCGAAGGCAGCUUACUAAACUAUUACUGACGCUCAUGCACGAAAGCGUGGGGAGCGAACAGGAGUAGAAACCCCGGUAGUCC
rnacentral:rRNA from 1 species